rnacentral:misc_RNA from 1 species
UUUGAUUGAACGCUUCUAUGAACCACUCUCGGGACAGAUAUUAUUGGAUGGAUUUGAUAUUAGGCACCUGGACUUGAAGUGGCUGAGGCAGCAAAUAGGGCUAGUAAAUCAAGAACCCGCUCUUUUCGCUACAACUAUUAGAGAGAACAUUCUCUAUGGAAAAAGUGAUGCUAGCCUUGAAGAUAUUGCACGUGCGGCCAAACUUUCCGAGGCAAUGACUUUCAUCAACAACCUCCCCGAUCGUUUUGAAACUCAGGUUGGUGAAAGAGGGG